AGCAACAAUCUAGCCUAACCAAAAACAACAAACUCAAACUAAACAAAAUCAUCCAACCAAAACAACUAAAACAUUCUCCACGAUCUUAGUAUAGGUGAUAGAAAAGAAAGUUAGAGCAAUAGAAGCAGUACCGCAAGGGAAAGAUGAAAAACAAUGAAAUACUCUCUCUAGGCCACAAAAAGCAAAGAUUAACCCUUAUACCUUUUGCAUCAUGAUUUAGCCAGCACACCCAAGCAAAGAGCCCUGAAGUCUGGUCCCCCGAAACCAAAUGAGCUACUUAAAGGCGGCCACCUACCAAGGCCAAAACCCAUCUCUGUGGCAAAAGAGUGGGGAGACCUCUAAGUAGAGGUGAAAAGCCCAACGAAUUUGGUGAUAGCUGGUUGCUCAAUAAAAGAAUAUAAGUUCAACCUUAAACCUUCUAAAAACAACUUAAAGUGAAAAGAAAAGUUUAAGAUCUAUUCAAUUGAGGUACAGCCCAAUUGAAAAAGGAUACAACCUACAAUGGAGGACAAAACACUAAAACACAACUACCGUAGGCUUUAAAGCAGCCACCACCGAAGAAAGCGUCAAAGCUCCCUGCAACUAAAUAAUAACAUGAAUUUUCACCCCAAACAAUACUGAGCUAUUCUACCCAAAUAGAAGAACUAAUGCUAAAAUGAGUAACAAGAAGACAAAACUUCUCUAACGCGCUAGCCUAAAUCAUAACGGAUACUCCACUGAUUAUUAACAACCAACACUAUAAAAACAACAACACUUAAAACAUCCUAUAGACCCAACUGUUAACCCAACACAGGUGCGCAUAAAAGAAAGAUUAAAAUUUGUAAAAGGAACUAGGCAAAUAAACGAGCCCGACUGUUUACCAAAAACAUAGCCCCUAGCAACACACAAGUAUUAGAGGUAAUGCCUGCCCAGUGACACUGUUAAACGGCCGCGGUAUCCUAACCGUGCAAAGGUAGCAUAAUCACUUGUCUUUUAAAUAAAGACUGGAAUGAAUGGCCAAACGAGGUUCUACCUGUCUCUUACAAAUAAUCAGUGAAAUUGAUCUCCCUGUGCAAAAGCAAGGAUAAAAUCAUAAGACGAGAAGACCCUGUGGAACUUCAAAUACAAGUCAACUAUCACAAAAAACACCCACCCACGGGUCCACAUCUAUCAGCAUCUGACUUAUAUUUUUCGGUUGGGGCGACCUCGGAACAAAACAAAACCUCCGAAAAAAGAACUAUAUCUAAACCUAGACCUACAACCCAAAGUGCCUGCGGCAAAAUGAUCCAAUAUACUUGAUCAACGAACCAAGCUACCCCAGGGAUAACAGCGCAAUCCCAUCCUAGUAGUCCAUAUCGACGAUGGGGUUUACGACCUCGAUGUUGGAUCAGGACAUCCUGAUGGUGCAGCCGCUAUCAAGGGUUCGUUUGUUCAACGAUUAACAGUCCUACGUGAUCUGAGUUCAGACCGGAGCAAUCCAGGUCGGUUUCUAUCUAUAAUCAAAGCCUUUUCCAGUACGAAAGGACCGAAAAGACAAGGCCUAUGCCAACAUCAAGCCUUAUCCUGCAUUAGUGCAAACAACUCAACUAAUAACAAGACAGAAAAAUCACAGCCCUAAAAAAGGGCCC
rnacentral:rRNA from 1 species